UACGAAGGGGGCUAGCGUUGUUCGGAAUUACUGGGCGUAAAGCGCGUGUAGGCGGGUCUUUAAGUCAGGGGUGAAAUGCCAAGGCUCAACCUUGGAACUGCCUUUGAUACUGGAGACCUUGAGUCCGGGGAGAGGUGAGUGGAAUUGCGAGUGUAGAGGUGAAAUUCGUAGAUAUUCGCAAGAACACCAGUGGCGAAGGCGGCUCACUGGCCCGGAACUGACGCUGAGACGCGAAAGCGUGGGGAGCAAACAGG
rnacentral:rRNA from 1 species